GAUGAACGCUAGCUACAGGCUUAACACAUGCAAGUCGAGGGGUAACGAGAGGAAAGCUUGCUUUCCUUGUCGACGACCGGCGCACGGGUGAGUAACGCGUAUCCAACCUGCCCCCAACUAAGGAAUAACCUUGCGAAAGUAAGACUAAUACCUUAUAAUUUCUUCAGAUGUCAUCUGACGAGGAACAAAGAUUUAUCGGUUGUGGAUGGGGAUGCGUCUGAUUAGCUUGUUGGCGGGGUAACGGCCCACCAAGGCAACGAUCAGUAGGGGUUCUACGAGGAAGGUCCCCCACAUUGGAACUGAGACACGGUCCAAACUCCUACGGGAGGCAGAAGUGAGGAAUAUUGGUCAAUGGGCGGAAGCCUGAACCAGCCAAGUAGCGUGCAGGAUGACGGCCCUAUGGGUUGUAAACUGCUUUUAUACAGGAAUAAAGUUAGCCACGUGUGGUUAUUUGUAGGUACUGUAUGAAUAAGGACCGGCUAAUUCCGUGCCAGCCGCCGCCGUAA
rnacentral:rRNA from 1 species